GACAGAGGGUGCAAACGUUGUUCGGAAUUACUGGGCGUAAAGCGUGUGUAGGCGGCCAUGUAAGUCAGGUGUGAAAGCCCCGGGCUUAACCUGGGAAUGGCAGUGGAAACUAGGCGACUUGAAUCUGGCAGAGGGGGGUGGAAUGCCACGUGUAGCAGUGAAAUGCGUAGAGAUGUGGCGGAACACCGAUGGCGAAGGCAGCCCCCUGGGUCGAGAUUGACGCUCAGGCACGAAAGCGUGGGGAGCAAACAGG
rnacentral:rRNA from 1 species